rnacentral:lncRNA from 1 species
UCGGUUGUCGGCGGUUUGCGCUUCGGUGGCGGCUCAGGCUUUGGUUCGGGUUUGGGUUCUGGUUUAGGCAUCGGUUCAGGCUUGGGCUCGGGUUUUGGUUCAGGUUUAGGCAUGGGCUUAGGCAUGGGCUCAGGCUUUGGUUCUGGUUUAGGCAUUGGCUUAGGCUUGGGUUCGGGUUUUGGCUCUGGUUUGGGCAUUGGCUCAGGCUUGGGUUCUGGUUUAGGCAUGGGCUCAGGCUUUGGUUCCGGUUUAAUUGGCUCAGGCUUCGGUUCCGGCUUAGGCAUUGGCUCGGGCUUGGGCUCAGGUUUUGGCUCAGGUUUAGGCAUUGGCUCGGGUUUGGGCUCAGGUUUAGGCUCAGGUUUAGGCACUGGCUCAGGCUUAGGCUCGGGUUUAGGCUCAGGUUUAGGCACUGGCUUAGGCAUGGGCUCGGGUUUUGGUUCCGGUUUAGGCAUUGGCUCAGGUUUGGGCUCGGGUUUAGGCUCGGGUUUAGGCAUUGGCUUAGGCAUGGGCUCGGGUUUUGGUUCCGGUUUGGGCAUGGGCUCUGGUUUUGGCUCGGGUUUUGGCAUUGGCUUAGGCAUGGGCUCUGGUUUUGGUUCCGGUUUAGGCAUCGGCUCAGGUUUCGGCUCUGGUUUAGGCAUUGGUUUGGGCAUUGGUUCCGGCUUGGGCUCUGGCUUCGGCUCGGGCUUGGGCAUGGGUUCAGGUUUGGGCUCAGGUUUCGGUCCCGGUUUGGGCAUUGGUUCUGGCUUCGGCUCAGGUUUCGGUUCAGGUUUAGGCAUGGGUUCAGGUUUCGGUUCAGGUUUUGGCUCUGGUUUUGGCAUGGGCUUGGGCUCCGGUUUUGGCAUGGGUUUUGGUUCCGGCUUUG